rnacentral:misc_RNA from 1 species
GACCAGUGGAUGAAGUGAAACAGAAAAGUAUAUUGAAAUAAGUAUGGGCAUAAGUACAAGUACAGAGGUUGACUGAUAAAGCAACGAGUGGAUGAAUUUGUAAUGGAAAAAUAUAUUGAAACAAGUAUAAGUAUAGUAUAAAUAUAGUUAAGAUCAAAUAAACUGUUGCCAUUAUUUAUUAAUUUGAUGUAUGAUAUUGUUGACGUUAAGUGAUAGAGGGACCAGUGGAUGAAGUGAAACAGAAAAGUAUAUUGAAAUAAGUAUGGGCAUAAGUACAAGUACAGGUAUAAGUAUAGUGUAUGCUGAUGCAGAUCUGCACUCUUAUAGUGUUACAAUACAAUAAAAAGAAGAAUAAGGAGCACAUUCAUAUAUUUAUAGCAAAUGACAUUACCAAAAAGUUAACCUUGGUCACGGAUAUACAAAAGCAAAGAUGUAGAGUUUCUUUUGAAGUAAUUACUUCAACAGAAUAUUAACGACUGUUUUGGUUUGCAAGUUCCAGAGGUAAACGUACUCCCAACAAAUUGUUACUGCCGUUUCUUCUAAUCUUCAGCCAGAGUUACAUAAGAAUAUUAACUUUUUGUGCUACCGUCUGUCGAUAUAAAUAGAUGAACGUGCCCCCUAGGAGAUUAUUGUUAUCCUUUAUUCGAUCGGUAUAGUAGCAUUGAGCAAGCGACGAUUAUAACUGGCGUACACUAUCUCUCGUACUUAUAAUUAUUUUAAUACAACUGGCUAUCACGAAUUCGUCCACUCGUUACGUUCUUAAUUAAAUACACCUACACGUUGAAUUCAUCUCAAACGAAUUGCAACACAAAUACAUACUUUUUUAUAUAGAGCUAAGCUGAGUAGUUUUAGAACAUAGAUAAUCAAAUAGAAAGUAAGGAAAAAGAAAAGGUAAACCGUUCAACUGUGCAGCAUACGUACAACUGGCAAACUGUAAUAUGGGAGAUAUCGUAAAUUAUGAAGACGAAUAACGAAGUACAUUUACACGUAUUUAGUAUUGAAAUUUCAAAGUGGAGAACAUCGAAGAGUAAAAACAUCUUUCUAAACAAUUUAAGUUAAAUGUUGAUUUAUUCUACGACCGUGGAAAGUCUAUUUCGCAUUUCCAACAAGCAUCGUGUCUCAGUAGCUCUAUUUCUCGUUGUUCUCUUCUGUGACCCACCUUCUAAAUACUCGUUCGGAGAGAAGGUAAAUUCAUUGUGACCACUGGCUCGUAUUCUCCGCUUUAAAUCUCAUGAGAGGAUACGGUAGAACCUAGGUCAGGGUCUCGGUUUACAUAACGCAGGUAAUGCGCUACCAUUUCGUUAAAUAAUUUCUUUUCUCAGCGAAUAAGAUCUCGGUAGAAAUACAAGUUGUUGAAUACCUUACGAGUCUUUUCAAAAAUAUACACCAACAUGUUUAUAAUUGUCUUAAAAGCUGUAAGAUAUUUAUCUUCAAAUGUUUGUGGAUUAUUUUAAGACUAAAAUAAUAAAAUA